rnacentral:tRNA from 1 species
GGGCUCGUAGCUCAGUUGGUUAGAGCGUACCCCUGAUAAGGGUAAGGUCGUUGGUUCGACUCCAACCGGGCCCA